rnacentral:piRNA from 1 species
UGAAUGACUGGUGAAAGACUGAGAGAUGA